UUCGCGGCCUGACCAUUAAAAAAAAAACUUUUUAAUUUUUUUCUGCCGCCAUUUUGAACUGUCAUUAUUCAGUUGUCAUCCCGCGAAAUUUCAAUUGUAAGACAUUGUAAAAAUAAAUUAUACGUCUGAUUUAAAAAUAAGAGUCAACAGAUUUUUCAUAAUGGACAAUUUGGAGCAACGUGCUGUAAUUAAAUAUCUUCAUAAAAAAGGAUUGACUCCAAAACAAAUUUUUGAAGAUAUGCAGUGUACAUUGGGGCAAUCCUGUCCAUCAUAUACGACAGUAAAAAAGUGGGCAGCUGAAUUCAAGCGGGGACGAGUCAAUAUCGCAGAUGACCCUCGCCCCGGGAGACCAACCACUGCGACCAAUCCACAUAAUGUGGCAAUUAUAUGCGAGAUGAUAAUGCAAGACCGACGAUUAAAAGUAAGGGAAAUAGCUGACAUCGUAGGCAUCUCCUAUGAAAGAACCCAAAACAUUAUAGUCAACGAAUUAGGUUUUUCAAAGGUGUCGGCGAGAUGGGUUCCGAAGCUCCUUUCAGUGGAACAAAAAAUCACUCGGAGUAAUAAUGGUUGACUAUCUCCAGAAAGGUACCACUAUAAACUCUGACUACUAUUGCGACCUUUUACGCCGAUUACGAGAAGAUCUGAAAGUAAAAAGACCUGGAUUGUUGACAAAAAAAGUUCUCUUUCACCAGGACAAUGCACGUGUGCACACGUCAAUAAAAUCGAUAGCAGAAAUUCACAACUGUGGGUUUGAAUUAUUGCCCCACCCGCCCUAUUCGCCUGAUUUGGCACCAUCGGACUUCCAUCUAUUUCCAAAUUUAAAAAAACACAUGGGCGGUAAGAAAUUUUUUACCAACGACGAGGUCCAAGCAGAAGUGGACACCUAUUAUGAAGGCCUGGAGGAAAGUUUCUUCAAAAGUGGUAUAAUGGCUUUGGAAUUCAGAUGGAACAAGUGCAAAGAGCUCGACGGGGACUACGUAGAGAAAUAAAAAUA